UGCCUUAGUAGCGGCGAGCGAAGCGGCAAAAGCUCAAAUUUGAAAUCUGCCCUAUUUCGAGUUGUAAUUUGCAGAGGAUGCUUUGAUUUGGGAUGCCGAAUAGAGUCCAUUGGAACAUGGCGUCACGGAGGGUGAAARUCCCGUACUUUUGGUAUUUGGUCUUCUCAUAUAAWGCUCCUUCSAAGAGUCGCGUUGUUUGGGAAUGCAACCCCAAAUGGGUGGUAAAUUUCAUCCAAAGCUAAAUACCGGCUAGAGACCGAUASCGCACAAGUAGAGUGAUCGAAAGAUGARAAGCACUUUGAAAAGAGAGUUAAAAAGCAUGUGAAAUUGUUGAAAGGGAAGCGCAUACAGCCAGAUUUGGUUUACGCAAGUUCAGCCUUAUGGUCAAUUCUUGUGUAUAUCGGCCAGCAUCGGGUUGAACAGUCGGAUAAAAGUGAUGAGAAUGUAGUUCCGCUUCGGUGGAAAACUUAUAGCUCGUCUCAUAAUGCGUGCUCGUUCAGCCCGAGGUCUGCUUAUAGGAUGCUGGCAUAAUGGUGGUAUGCGGCCCGUCUUGAAACACGGACCAAGGAGUCUAACAUCUAUGCGAGUGUUUGAGUGUCAAACUCAUCCGCGUAAUGAAAGUGAACGGAGGUGAGAGCUACGGCGCAUCAUCGACCGGUCUUGAUGUCUUCGGAUGGAUCUGAGUAAGAGCAUAGCUGUUGGGACCCGAAAGAUGGUGAACUAUGCCUGAAUAGGGUGAAGUCAGAGGAAACUCUGAUGGAGGCUCGCAGCGGUUCUGACGUGCAAAUCGAUCGUCAAUUUGGGCAUAGGGGCGAAAGACUAAUCGAACCAUCUAGUAGUAAGUUUUUACAAUUCGAUGAAAUAUUAANGGAAUCAACAUACUAAUUUCAACCCUUUUAGGCUGGUYCCUGCCGAAGUUUCC
rnacentral:rRNA from 1 species